ensembl:lncRNA
AUGGGCUGGAGUCUCAUUUGGACACCUCAGAGGACAGCACUUUUCUUCAGGACAUGCUCAGGGGCAAUACUCUGCAUCUGCUUAUUAAGGUCUAUGACAGAAUGCAGAAGUACAAAGCCCAGCGUCCUGCUCCACUGUUGGAAAACACACAGGGCCUGGCUCAGGACGUAAGUUCUCCUCUGGGGCAUCUAGUGGUUUUUGUCUCCAGACCAGAGUGAUCAGACAAUCCAGCAGAGCUGGGACGGGAUUCAGUUGCAGGACCUUUAGUCUGUUCAGUGUUGUCGGUUUGAAGUGUACUGGAAGGGAUUACUUGUGAACACCCCAGUGUCACAUAAAUACAUGUGCAGCUUCACAGACACUCAUUUAUUUAUUGCUUUUUAUUUUUAUUAUUAUUAUUUUUUUUAAUCUGGCCAUACCUAUUUAUAUUCAAGGCCAAAAUGACAUUUUUGUGUGUCAAUGCCCAGCAUGACCCAAUUUUCCCUAAGCUCUUUAAAACUGCAGUGUAUAAUUUCUGCACCACCAG